rnacentral:rRNA from 1 species
GACGAACGCUGGCGGCGUGCCUAAUACAUGCAAGUAGAACGCACAGUUUAUACCGUAGCUUGCUACACCAUAGACUGUGAGUUGCGAACGGGUGAGUAACGCGUAGGUAACCUGCCUGGUAGCGGGGGAUAACUAUUGGAAACGAUAGCUAAUACCGCAUAAUAUUAAUUAUUGCAUGAUAAUUAAUUUAAAGGUGCAAUUGCACCACUACCAGAUGGACCUGCGUUGUAUUAGCUAGUAGGGGAGGUAACGGCUCACCUAGGCGACGAUGCAUAGCCGACCUGAGAGGGUGAUCGGCCACACUGGGACUGAGACACGGCCCAGACUCCUACGGGAGGCAGCAGUAGGGAAUCUUCGGCAAUGGACGAAAGUCUGACCGAGCAACGCCGCGUGAGUGAAGAAGGUUUUCGGAUCGUAAAGCUCUGUUGUAAGAGAAGAACGGGUGUGAGAGUGGAAAGUUCACACUGUGACGGUAUCUUACCAGAAAGGGACGGCUAACUACGUG